GUUCUUUCACCAGUCAGUAUUUUUUUUUUUACUGUGUUUAUGUAUAGACAAUACUGUUAUGUUGUCUCGUUCCAAGUUUGCUGUUUUAUUCAAUGUUUCACCUGCUUCUCAUCUCUCAGCAUCUCUGUUACACUUCAUUAGGUUACGUUAGCUAGGUAGCGUACGAACUACUGCAGAGCCGGAGGCAAACGACAUGACUGUUCUAUUUAGUCUGAUCCCAUCAAUCUGUAGAGGCAUCAACAACAAGCUCAGCACCAGGAACUAGUGAGACUUGCAAGUACAAACAAAUAUUCUGCAAGAGGUUGAGUAGUGGGUGGUGAAGGGAGUGUAUGAGAGGUUUGUCCACCUGGCUGUGGAGUGCAGAAAGGACCAGACGGUUGUCUACAAGGAGCCAGAGUCACUGCCCCCCAAUCCCAACAUCCCUGCCAACAUCACCACAGCCUAAACCAGCUGCCAUUACCAAACACAAGAAGAGUUUCACCAGCUGAAGAACAUUCUGGAACUUGCCUGGAACAUUCAACCAACACAACAUUCAUAGUCAGACUGAUAUUGUAGUAUAAUAUAGAAACCCUAGUAUGCUCACAACUGAAUUUUGGUAUAGAAAGUGCUAGCUGUUGUACAAAUAUAUAUAUUUAAACACAACAUGUAAAGUGUUGGUCCUAUGUUUCAUGAGCUGAAAUAAAAGAUACCAGAAAAUGUCCAUAUA